rnacentral:rRNA from 1 species
AUGCGGUUGAAGAGGGCGACAGCAAGGGCAGGGCCAUUGCUGCAGGCAGCUGAGGGCCGUGCACGGGCGAGUGUGGCAAGAAAGUUAUUCAGCCCGCCUACUGGGAAGGCGGCGGCUUGGCUUAGCAAUUCGUCAAACAGGUGGUGCGCGUCCUCCUGGUUUAGUGUUCCAGCGCGCACACGCUCAGUGGCAGCAGCCAAGGCGGCGACAGGAGCUCGUGGUUUUCCUGAAGAAGCCUUGAAGGAGGAGGCGGAGAUGGAGCACAGGCGGGCGGUUGGCAUUGCUGGCCGUCUCCAGCGGAUCUCGCCCUAUGGGGAGGCUGAGAGACCGUGCGUGCGUCCCCUGACGAGGCGCUCCGCGCUCGGGUGGCGUCACCUGCGACGCUCGGCGCGCGCGCGCAGCAUCCAGCCUCUCGGGGGAACCGGUCGCCGCCGCCGGCGCGGGUUGCAAUCAAUGCCGAACGCGCUCAGCAGCGGUGACGAAGAGGAGGCCCCGGCGCCCGAGCCGAAAGCACGGGAGGAACAACGCACCUCCGCUGCCCCUCCGUCGACGAGGACGGGAACGCAGGAGGCCGGACUGGUGGGUCGGGCCGCCGGCGAGCGGCUGACUGGAGAGGAGGAGGGAGGACUGGGGAGUGGGGAGAUGAAUCUAUGCCGUUGGAUCAUUCCUCAGUCUAUGCGUCAUUUCAUGAUUCAGUAUUCUUUUUUCUUCACGGACGGCAAGCUUCGUUCAAUUUUUUCCCUUCGAAAAGGAUCCAGACACGUCAAGAUAACAAAAAUUAGACAUACAGAGUCAAAAAAAUAA